CUUCUGUAUUGCGCACCCUUCUAACAAUCUUUAUCCAAACACUUGUGCACCUUUGAAAGAAGGGGGGAAACCUUCCCCUUCUUAUUUACAUACACCGCUUCUAUAAUGUCGAAUGUGAUCUUGUGCCUUUUCCUUUAAGGAGGGCCUGACUUAAUGUUAAUACAACUUUUAACAACGGAUCUCUUGGCUCUCGCAUCGAUGAAGAACGCAGCGAAAUGCGAUAAGUAAUGUGAAUUGCAGAAUUCAGUGAAUCAUCGAAUCUUUGAACGCACCUUGCGCUCCCCGGUAUUCCAGGGAGCACACCUGUUCGAGUGUCGUGAAAUUCUCAAGCUUAUAGAUGGUUUUUCAUCUUAGGCUUGGUUGUUGGGCUUUGCCGUGCCCCUCUUUAUUGAGGGAACAGCUGGCCUUAAAAGCAUUAGCUGACUCUCGUGUAGGAUUGGUUCUACUCAGCGUGAUAAUAAUUCUGACCGCCGAGGACAUCUUUCGGGAUGGCCAAUUCUUCUUUGGGUUGCUUCAAACUCUGGUUUACAGAUCUCUAUAUCUGUUCCACUAUCAAGUUUG
rnacentral:rRNA from 1 species